AACUCUGGGAAUUCUGAGGGGAAAAUUACAUGAGUUGGAGAAGUUGAGCCGCUACGUCGACCGUACCUGCAACAGCCUACCUCUGGAUUUCCUGUGUGCGAGGACUCUCAUCAACAGAUGUACAUGGCACACUAAAAUCAUCCAAUACUAGUCCUGGGGUUGAAGCUCUAAACUCAGGAAGUAAAACGGGUCGUUCCUAAUCACAGUACAAAGCAGAUGACGCAAGCUGAGAUAAAACACAAAGAGAUUAAGUUCGAGAGAGCUAAAGCACCACAUAAACAGAGAUCAAAAAAACAAAAAACAGUCCCUGGAAUAGCAACUCCGUAGGAAGCCAGAGUGUGGAAGGUAUAAAAGGGAAAGAACAGUCUCCUUCCAGAUAUUGGAAUAAAGACUCUGUAUUUAAGAAGACACCGAGCAAGAACAUUAGCAGUCGCCUCCUAAAGUGGGGUCUUGCCUGCAGUCAAGAACCUACUCCCAUCUUCUCUCAACUCUGCAUUCAGGGACAUCACAUGAACCGCCCACUUGAGAAAUCAGCCACGAUGAGAGUAUUUACACCACGGAAACUGGCAAACACUAUAAAUCAGAGCCUCCCCAGGCCCCCCCAAACCUGUUUACCAACAUAUCACUGAACAAACUGAGAGCAAAUACUUAAAUAUAUAAACCCUACUUCAACACCGUCAAGUGGGGGGCACAGAGUGGGCAACGAAGGAACAGAACUUAGCACAAGAAGAAGAGAAAUUGAAACUACAACAGUGGCAGUUCCUUUAGCCAUAUUUGCUGGCCAGCCUUUUCCCCUUCCUGAACAUUCUACAUAUAGAAAAGUACUUAUACCUGAAGGAACUUCCUGUGUUUCCGAUGGGUGCAUAGCUUCUUCUUCUAAAGAGCAUUUGGUAUUUGGUCAUAUUCCUGUUUAUUGUUCAUUAAUUGCUUUUCAUACAUCUGACUGCGAUCUUUAACUCAGUGAGAGUUACCCUAGAGGACAGGUAGGCUGUUUCUCCCACUUAGAAUGAUAGCAUGUCACAAGUAAAUAUUUCUGGAUCUCCCUAUCUGACUUCCAAGCACCCUUCACAGCGCCAAUCAGAUGGGAUGCACUCAGUACACUCCUGUCCACCCAGCAGGUCAAAAUUUUUCCUUUAUAAAUACAGAGGGUCAUGGGAGAAAACAGAGGACAGAUAUCUACGAAUUUAAACCAAUUAUUUCUCUCAAAGAGAGCCCCCCUUC